CCGAGUGCAGAGCCAGGGCCCAGCACGAAGGCCUUGGGCUCCAGUCCGUGUGCCCCACAUCCCUACAUGAGUGAGGGUGGAGGGAUGGUGCCUCUGCCACGGCCACGGUGCCGCCGUCCACGUCAGCUCACUCUCAGCACAGGUGCUGUGUGACGGCCUCGGGCCACACCGCUUGUUCUGAGGCCCCUAGCAGGUCGGGCUUGUGCUGGCUGCACAUUGGCUGGUGAGCUUGGCGGGUCUGUGGGCACGGAGAGACCAGAACGUGCGUAACAGGCCCGAUGAGGGUGCCAGGCUGUGGCGACCCCCGAGCUUCAGAGGAGAGGGGCACCAGCCGGGGGCCCUGCACAGGCAGCCUCAGAGAGAGGAAAGCUCACGAUCUGGGAGAACUCCAGGCCUGGCCCAGUGAAGACGUCCUUAUCUUCAGCAGACAUUGCCCAGUGCAAGGGGAGUCCAGCCCCAGACUGACUUUCUGAGGUCACAGACGGAGCCUCACCCCAUCCAAGGCGGUGUCCUGGACUCCCACUGUGCUCCCCAGAGGGCAGGGUACCUGGGGCCCAGCCCGGGCGGCAGGAGGGACUCAGCCCCUCGCCCAGGCAGGAAGGGUCCCAAGCAGAGGCCCCUCCCUCAGGCACUCCCCAGCCCACACCUGCAGCACUGGGACCAAGACUAAUAAAACACCAGCCUCACGGAAGACAGCUUUAUCUUGUUGAUCGGAAGUCUGCCAGCCCAAUUUAUGAUGGAACAUAAGAUCUCUAAAUCUGAAUUUACGCUCUGUAGCGUAACGAGAGGUCAAUAAGAUUAAACGGGGGCUCAGGAGAGGACCAGCGUCAGGCUCACUGCGAGGUGCUGCACAGAAAACCCACAGCCAGAGCCCCUGGGCCCAGCCCAGGCAAGACCAGAAAAGGAGGGGGCAGGUGGGAGACCAGCCUGGGGCUCCCGGGAAGCCCACGGGAUGGAGGCGGGAGAGCCAGGAGGCCUGGGGCAACCCUGGGACGGUUCCUGGAUCGAGGAGAGCAGGGGGGUGAUGAGGGUUCCCUCAGGGCUGGGGAGCCUUCUCCUGGUCUCAGACCCACCCCCCUUCAGCUCCCAAGCCCUGGGUGCCCCUGGCUCUGAGGACAGUUGGGAAUCUUCCCUGAGGCAGGUUCAAGGACAGAGCUCUGACCCUGGCCCAGGGCUGCUUUGGGUGCCUAUGAACUCGGCUUCUGGCUCAGAGCAGUUCCCUGCACCCCUUCCUGAGCCCUCUGUCCUCUGGAACCCGUGGGCAGGGUGAGGGACGGGUGUUCCUUCUGGGUGGGGGCCUGGGCGCCCAGCCAGCACGACGCUGGCUUGCUGAGCUUAGGGCAGACCCCGACUUCAGAAUUUAUACAAAUAAAUGCAAUGAAAAGUGCUGGCAACCUGAUCUGAUUACAGAGUCAUUCAUUCUCUGGUCGUUAAUAAUUUGUGCAA
rnacentral:lncRNA from 1 species